UGAAACCCCAUCUUUACUAAAAAUAUAAAUAUUAGCUGGGUGUGGUGGGGUGUGCCUGUAGUCCCAGCUACUUGGGAGGCUGAGGCAGGAGAAUUGUUUGAGCCCAAGAGGCGGAGGUUGCAGUGAGCCAAGAUCGCGCCACUGCACUCCAGCCUGGCAACAGAGUGAGACUCUGUCUCAAAAAAAAACUAACAAAAACAAAAACAUUAGCCAGGUAUGGUGGCAUGUGCCCAUAGUCUCAGCUACUCGGGAAUCUGAGGCAGGCUUGAACCUGGGAGGUGGGGUUGCUGUGAGCCAAGAUCGUGCCACUGCACUCCAGCCUGGGUGACAAAGUGAGACUGUCUCAAAAUAAUAAUAAUAAUAAAAUAUUUAUAAGUAUUUUAUAUAACAUUCCAUCAGCAUUUACACUCAUGAAAUCUCCAUCACAAAUCUUUGCUGAUUUUAGUGUUAGGAGCCCAGGUCUGAUGCUGACAACACUGCUGAUUUUAAUUUCAAGGCAAUCAUUUUCAGUGCAGAAUUUUACCUUAGAUUAAGAAAUUCAACUCCUUCUGUUAACUCAAAAGAUUUUAAUAAUUCUGCUGCUGUUAAUUUUUAUGCAAUAUUUUAAUUAUAGUAGCUUAAUAAAAUUCAUGAUUGUAUUGUUUUCAAGGAGAUUCUAAUAGUUAAAUAAGUUUUUGUUUAUAGACAUAAAUUUUAUGGCUUAAUGGUUUAUAAUCUUUUCCAAGAAAAUUGUAUUUUUCUAAAUUGUUUACUCUGGAAUGUUACUGUGCAAAGGCACACUAAAGUAGAUCCCACAGAAUGUUGAAUGUCCAUUUCCACCAGCUUAGUAUCUUAAAUCUUUGCUUCAAAGAAGUUCUUGCUCAGGAAGUUAUUCAUUCAGCAACCUAAAAUUGUUUUUUGAGUACAUAUCAAGCACAGGAUUCUGAGCAAUGUCUUAGGAAGACCAUAAAGGUGAAUAAAUGAGUGUUUCUACCCUGAGGAAUUUAUCAAAGAUGUUAAGUUAUCUCCUUAGAGGUUUAAGGCAUAUAGGCAUAUGCUAUGUAUACUAAAGGUGGUAUGGCAUAAGAGUACAUAUAGUCACCAACUUAGAAUUGUUUAUUCUUUGACUUAUGAUCUUUCAACUUUACAAUGGCACGAAUGCUAUACACAUUCAGUAGAAGUUGGUAGAAUAGUUCCUUGAUGCUGGGCAGCAGCAGUGAGCUGCAGCUCCUGGUCGGCCACAUGAUAACGAGGGCAGACAACCAAUACUCUACAGUGUACUGUGUUGGUAGGUUAUUUUGCUCAACUUUAGGCUAAUGUAAGUGUUUUCAGUACGUUUAAGGUAGUCUAGACUAAGCUAUGAUGUUUGGUAGGUUAGGUGUAUUGUAUCUAUUUUUGACUUAAUGAUAUUUUCAACUUUCGAUGAGUUUAUGGGGAAGUCACCCCAUGGCAAGCCGAGGAGCAUCUAUAUAAAGAGGUAAAGGAGCUCAAAGGAAAGAGGCAAAGAAUGCUUCUGGCUGGGAAAUUUGGAAAGCUUCUUGGUUUGGAUCUUGAAGAAUAAACAGUAUUUUGUCAGCUUGAAAUUUCUAAGAGGAGGCUAUUUCAUGCAAAGAAAAUGGCUUUAGGUUUGGAUUAUUGUGAAAAUGGAAGCAACAGUAAAGAGAGGACGAUAGUCAAAAGGCAUAUAAUUUUUAAUGGGGAAAAACUAAUUAAAUUUUAAUAAAUUACAGCCAAAAUGUAGCAACCAACUAGUCAUAGCUGUUGCUACUUUUACAGCAUUUGUGUAUCAUGAUUUAAAUUUGUAUAUGAUAUGAUAGCUAUAAUUUGUUUUCAGAUAUUGAAAGCAAAUAAAAGCAAUCUUUGUUUUGUGGUACAUUUUGUUAUGUUUUUUAACUUAUGUUUCAACAGGAACAAUAUAAACAGGCAUUCCCAUCACAGUUAAAGAAACAAGAGUCAUCUAAGAGCCUGAAGAAGGUUAUUGCAGCUUUGUCAAAUCCAAAAGCAACCUCUAGUUCACCAGCACAUCCAAAACAAACAUUAGAAAACAACCACCCAAAUCCAUUCUUGACAAAUGCACUUUUAGGUAAUCACCAACCAAAUGGAGUUAUUCAAAGUGUCAUUCAAGAAGCUCCUCUAGCACUUACUACCAAAACUAAAAUGCAGAGCAAGAUUAAUGAAAACAUUGCUGCUGCAAGUAGCACCCCUUUUUCCUCACCUGUAAAUUUGAGUACAAGUGGGAGAAGAACCCCUGGCAAUCAGACACCUGUAAUGCCCUCUGCCUCUCCCAUCCUGCAUAGUCAAGGGAAGGAAAAAGCAGUUAGCAAUAAUGUAAACCCAGUAAAAACACAGCAUCACUCCCAUCCUGCAAAAUCUUUAGUGGAACAAUUCAGAGGAACAGAUUCAGACAUUCCCAGUAGUAAAGAUUCCGAAGAUUCAAAUGAGGAUGAAGAGGAAGAUGAUGAGGAAGAAGAUGAGGAAGAUGAUGAAGAUGAUGAAUCUGAUGACAGCCAAUCAGAAUCAGAUAGUAAUUCAGAAUCAGAUACAGAAGGAUCAGAAGAAGAAGAUGAUGAUGAUAAAGACCAAGAUGAAUCAGAUAGUGAUACUGAAGGAGAGAAAACUUCAAUGAAACUGAAUAAAACAACUUCCUCUGUCAAAAGCCCUUCCAUGAGUCUCACAGCUCACUCAACACCUCGUAACCUCCACAUAGCAAAAGCCCCAGGCUCUGCUCCUGCUGCCUUAUGUUCUGAAUCCCAGUCACCUGCUUUUCUUGGUACAUCUUCUUCCACACUUACUUCAAGCCCACACUCUGGCACUUCCAAAAGAAGAAGAGUAACAGAUGAACGAGAACUGCGUAUUCCAUUGGAAUAUGGCUGGCAGAGAGAGACAAGAAUAAGAAACUUUGGAGGGCGCCUUCAAGGAGAAGUAGCAUAUUAUGCUCCAUGUGGAAAGAAACUUAGGCAGUACCCUGAAGUAAUAAAGUAUCUCAGCAGAAAUGGAAUAAUGGAUAUCUCAAGGGACAAUUUCAGCUUCAGUGCAAAAAUAAGAGUGGGUGACUUCUAUGAAGCCAGAGAUGGACCGCAGGGAAUGCAGUGGUGUCUUUUGAAAGAAGAGGAUGUCAUUCCUCGUAUCAGGGCAAUGGAAGGUCGUAGAGGAAGACCACCAAAUCCAGAUAGACAACGAGCAAGAGAGGAAUCCAGGAUGAGACGUCGGAAAGGUCGACCUCCAAAUGUUGGCAAUGCUGAAUUCCUAGAUAAUGCAGAUGCAAAGUUGCUAAGAAAACUGCAAGCUCAAGAAAUAGCCAGGCAAGCAGCACAAAUAAAGCUUUUGAGAAAACUUCAAAAGCAGGAACAGGCUCGGGUUGCUAAAGAAGCCAAAAAACAACAAGCAAUAAUGGCUGCUGAGGAGAAGCGGAAGCAAAAAGAACAGAUAAAGAUUAUGAAACAGCAGGUAUGUGUAUGCAUUGGAACUGACUUUUAAAAUAUGGGACUUAUUUUGAGGAUUUGUUAGUAAUGUACAUUAUUUUUGAUUUCUUAAAUAACUAUAUUUCAUGUUAAUGUUUGUGUCUUAUUUAGAAAGUUGCUAUCUUCUAUUAAUUAAAAUUUUACCUUUUAAUAAAGUCUUCUACUUCCAAGUGUUUAAAGAAAUGAUUACCAAACAGUAAAUUUGUGUAAGUACUUUAAUAUCCUGGUAGACUUUAUAUAAGUUGGUAUCUUGAACAAUUUUCAGAAUUUUUAAAUUAAUGUAUCAGUCAAUGAAGUAUAUUGCUCGAAUGUUCAAAUUUUAAUAAAAGCUUGUUUUUCUUAAACAUGUAAAAUAUUAGUAGAAAAUUAAAUUUAAGUUAUACAAAAUAAGAUUUGCCUUCAUUGCUUCUUAAUACUUUCAGGGUUACUUAAAAGUUGCCACUGCAAAAAAAAAAAAAAAAAAAAAAAAAA
rnacentral:sRNA from 1 species